rnacentral:sRNA from 1 species
GUAAACAUAAACAAACUUAGCCUUGGCC